UCAUUUAAAAUUCCAAUGCUUCGCAUGAAUCCCAACACACUUCGACAGCGAUCCUGACUAGCAAAAUUUGUUUCCCAUAUCACACUAAUUUUAAAUAGGUCACGCUCAUUUUGGUAUGUUACACAAACACAAAGUAUGUUCUCUGGUGUUAAAUUGAUACCACAUCUAUUACACAAAGAUGGUGCCUCACCCUUCAGCAAAUAACUAUGCGUGAGAGCAGUGUGUCCCAAACCGAGCCGAUACAACUUUGUCGAGUGCAGACGUUCCACGUCAAGUAAAAAAAGUGGUCCUAGGUUUGGUUUAAUUCUUCUCAAAGAUGUAUCGACCCGCGCCCAUUGCUCCUGCCAGCGCUCAUUUACACAGUGCUUGACAGCCACCUUUGUGAAAUCUACAAUGUUAUCCUCUUGUAACUGUAGCUCCUCCAUGAAUUGUCUUGCUCUUUCACCUUGCGAUUUAUAUAACCGUGUAGGUCUAGUUGUAUCGGUAAUAGUUAACUAUUAACUGCUUUCGGCGAAGAGCAAGCGGAAGAAUAUUCGCUUCCACGUUGAGAGCACAGACGGGACUCGUUGGAAAUGCCCCAAGGGAAUAUCUAAUUGCUAAAUUUUGAAUUUUGUCCAGCUUACUUAGCAACGUGGAAUUACACGAGGAAUAACUAUAGCACCCAUAGUCAAUACGUGACAGAAUCAACAAAAAUAACGAUCGGUUCUCUUUAAGAAAUUGCGUAAAGCAUUUUUAUUGAACGUAAUCAAAACAAUUUUUGAAGUGAUCGAUUUUUGUAAAUUAGCUAAAUAGAGCAAAAUUGUAUCGCAUAAAAUAUUAUGGUUGAACUUA